rnacentral:rRNA from 1 species
UACGUAGGGUGCGAGCGUUGUCCGGAAUUAUUGGGCGUAAAGAGCUCGUAGGCGGCCUGUUGCGUCGGUUGUGAAAGCCCGGGGCUUAACCCCGGGUCUGCAGUCGAUACGGGCAGGCUAGAGUUCGGUAGGGGAGAUCGGAAUUCCUGGUGUAGCGGUGAAAUGCGCAGAUAUCAGGAAGAACACCCGUGGCGAGGGCGGUUCUCUGGGACGGUACUGACGCUGAGACGCGAAAGCGUGGGGAGCGAACAGG